UUGAAAGUAAAAGAACAUAAUUUUUGUGAC
rnacentral:piRNA from 1 species